rnacentral:rRNA from 1 species
CCUUAACCUGCUAACUAGGGCUGGGAGCGAGAGCUUUUAGCGACUUCUUAGAGGGACUUGCUGCGGAUAGCAGUGGGAAGUUUGAGGCAAUAACAGGUCUGUGAUGCCCUUAGAUGUUCUGGGCUGCACGCGCGCUACACUGACACAGGCAGAGAGUAGGACCUUGACCGAGAGGUCUGGGGAAUCUUGGGAAACUGUGUCGUGCUGGGGAUAGAUCAUUGCAAUUAUUGGUCUUGAACGAGGAAUUCCUAGUAAGCGCAAGUCAUCAGCUUGCGUUGAUUACGUCCCUGCCCUUUGUACACACCGCCCGUCGCUACUACCGAUUGAAUGGCUUAGUGAGGCCUUUGGACGUGAAGUUUUGGGAGACUGAAACUUUAGGGAAAUUGGACAAACUUGGUCAUUUAGAGGAAGUAAAAGUCG